rnacentral:lncRNA from 1 species
AAGGCAAAUAAACCCUUUUCUCCCCAAGUUGCUUUGGUCAUGCUUGUUUGUGUUUGUUUGUUUGUGUUUGUACAGAAGGAUACAGCAGGAAUUGAAAGCACGUGCAAAGAAAAAUAAAGAUUUGGGCCAGUGGUGAGUAAACCUUGUAAAAAGGGACAAUGUAAUAAUGGUAAAGUGUUUUGUGUGUGUGUGUGUGUGUGUGUUCUUUUAUGCUUUUAGUCUUUGGACCCUGACUAGAGACAGUUUACACCCUAGACAUGAGAGAGAAUGGGUUUGAGAAAAACAGUCCUCCCGGACUCUCCGUGGAUGCUUUGAAGAAAGAGAAGGAAAAUGGGCUUAAGCUUUUUUGGAGCUCUCCUAGGGACAAAAGGAGGGUGGGAGCCUCCCUGCUGGUUCCUAUUAGAGAAGUGCUUAUUUCUGGUUCUGGAUCCUUUAGGAAGGAUAUCUGUGUCUCUUUGGUGUGGGACACCAUCUAGUUCUUUCCCUCUAUGUCUAUUGUCUGUCCUUGGUGCAACAAGCUGUCCAUGUCUGUGGUUUUUGCUUCUCAUUGCUUGAAUGUUUUGUGUUUCAUGUUUAAAAGAAAAAAAUGGGGGGUUGGGGAUUUAGCUCAGUGGUAGAGCGCUUGCCUAGGAAGCGCAAGGCCCUGGGUUCGGUCCCCAGCUCCAAAAAAAAGAACCAAAAAAAAAAAAAAAAA